AGGACAUUCCUUUCUGCUGCCUCCUG
rnacentral:piRNA from 1 species